rnacentral:rRNA from 1 species
GGCGUCUAGCAUGCAGUCGGGCGGCAAGGGGGAGCAAUCCUCCCUAGAGCGGCGGACUGGUGAGUAACGCGUGGGUGACCUGCCCUUAGGUUGGGGAUAGCCCCUAGAAAUAGGGGGUAAUACCGAAUACGGUUAUCUGGUUAUGACUGGAUAAAGAAAGGAGCUUCGGCUUCGCCUGGGGAUGGGCCCGCGUCCCAUUAGCUAGUUGGCGGGGUAAGAGCCCACCAAGGCUCUGAUGGGUAGCCGGCCUGAGAGGGUGAACGGCCACACUGGGACUGAGAUACGGCCCAGACUCCUACGGGAGGCAGCAGCUAAGAAUAUUCCGCAAUGGUCGGGAGACUGACGGAGCGACGCCGCGUGGAUGACGAAGGCCGGAAGGUUGUAGAAUCCUUUUGUUGCUGAAGAAUAAGCUUUGCAGGGAAUGGCAGGGCGAUGACGUUAGGCAACGAAUAAGCCCCGGCUAAUUACGUGCCAGCAGCCGCGGUAACACGUAAGGGGCGAGCGUUGUUCGGAAUUAUUGGGCGUAAAGGGCGCGUAGGCGGCGGAGUAAGCCCGGCGUGAAAUACUUCGGCUUAACCGGGGAACUGCGUUGGGAACUGCUGUGCUUGAGUCUCGGAGGGGGAGUUGGAAUUCCUAGUGUAGGGGUGAAAUCUGUAGAUAUUAGGAAGAACACCGGUGGCGAAGGCGGACUUCCAGCCGGAGACUGACGCUGAGGCGCGAAAGUGCGGGGAGCAAACAGGAUUAGAUACCCUGGUAGUCCGCACCAUAAACGACGUACACUAGGUGUUGGGCCGUGCGGCUCGGUGCCGAAGCAAACGUGAUAAGUGUACCGCCUGGGGAGUAUGCCCGCAAGGGUGAAACUCAAAGGAAUUGACGGGGGCCCGCACAGCGUGGAGCAUGUGGUUUAUUCGAUGAUACGCGAGACNUACCUGGGUUUGACA